rnacentral:rRNA from 1 species
UACGUAGGGUGCAAGCGUUAAUCGGAAUUACUGGGCGUAAAGCGUGCGCAGGCGGUUUUGUAAGUCUGACGUGAAAUCCCCGGGCUCAACCUGGGAAUUGCGUUGGAGACUGCAAGGCUGGAGUCUGGCAGAGGGGGGUAGAAUUCCACGUGUAGCAGUGAAAUGCGUAGAGAUGUGGAGGAACACCGAUGGCGAAGGCAGCCCCCUGGGUCAAGACUGACGCUCAUGCACGAAAGCGUGGGGAUCAAACAGG